GGUCAAUCCUCCGUCGUGGCUACGCACCACUACACGACACCUGCAGUGGUAGUCGUUCUGGUUCCGUGCAUUGACGAUGAUGCUGCCGUCCAACAUCUCGACCAGCUGCAGAGGUGCAGAGGGGCAGGAAGAGGAGGAAAAGAGGAAGACCACAGAGAAGGUUCAUGGAUGUGGUGAAAGAGGACAUGCAGGACAGGACAGUUGGUGUAACAGAAGAGGACACAAAGGAGAGGACAGAUUAUAAGCUGUUGCGACCCCUAAAGGGAGAGGCUGAAAGAAGAAGAAGACAAGCUAUUAUAAACCUGGAGCUAACUUCAUCUGUGUCUGAUGAUGUGCUAACAAAUGCUCAAAUUGAAUUAUAUACUCUGUCAGCUUAAAGAACUGAAUAUUUCAAAGUUCACGGACAGUGAAAAGACACAGAAUGGUGCUCAACAUACUAACAACCAGCUGCAAGCUAAAACAAAACUAUCUAACCACCACCUAGUGUAGUGUAGGUGGACACACUCAGUCACUAAAUCGAUUCCCCACUAGUGCUACUGUAUAAACCGGGGCGAGGACAGUGGUCCCACUAAAUGCUGUAGAUGCAUAGCUGGACUUACAUGUAUGUGGACCCAUGGAGCAGGUAAAGUCUUUAGUAAUCUUUAUCAUCACAUCAUAUACAAAGCAUUUUUACAAAGAGAAACCGUACCUGGGGUUCAUCAGGGUUGAAGUCCAACGGUUUCUUCUUCUGGUUGUAGGGGAUGCUCUUCAGGGCGGCACCGUUGUACCAGUUGCGGCCAUGGUCGUCACUCAGGAUGCAGAAAACGCCGUCCCCCUCGAUCGUUCCAUGACCACAGACAACCAACCGCCCUUUAGCUGGACUGUAUCGCUUCU